UACGGAGGAUGCGAGCGUUAUCCGGAUUUAUUGGGUUUAAAGGGAGCGUAGGCGGGUUGUUAAGUCAGUUGUGAAAGUUUGCGGCUCAACCGUAAAAUUGCAGUUGAUACUGGCAUCCUUGAGUACAGUAGAGGUAGGCGGAAUUCGUGGUGUAGCGGUGAAAUGCUUAGAUAUCACGAAGAACUCCGAUUGCGAAGGCAGCCUGCUGGACUGUAACUGACGCUGAUGCUCGAAAGUGUGGGUAUCAAACAGG
rnacentral:rRNA from 1 species